rnacentral:rRNA from 1 species
UGGCAGAGGGGGGGUAGAAUUUCCCACGUGUAGCAGUGAAAUGCGUAGAGAUGUGGAGGAAAUACCGAUGGCGAAGGCAGCCCCCUGGGCCAAUACUGACGCUCAUGCACGAAAGCGUGGGGAGCAAACAGGAUUAGAUACCCUGGUAGUCCCACGCCCUAAACGAUGUCAACUAGUUGUUGGGUCUUCAUUGACUUAGUAACGUAGCUAACGCGUGAAGUUGACCGCCUGGGGAGUACGGUCGCAAGAUUAAAACUCAAAGGAAUUGACGGGGACCCGCACAAGCGGUGGAUGAUGUGGAUUAAUUCGAUGCAACGCGAAAAACCUUACCUACCCUUGACAUGGCUGGAAUCCUUGAGAGAUCAGGGAGUGCUUGAAAGAGAACCAGUACACAGGUGCUGCAUGGCUGUCGUCAGCUCGUG